rnacentral:rRNA from 1 species
CCCUUAGAUGUCCUGGGCCGCACGCGCGUUACACUGAUGCAUUCAACGAGCUUAUAACCUUGGCCGAGAGGCCUGGGCAAUCUUGUUAACGUGCAUCGUGAUAGGGAUAGAUUAUUGAAAUUAUUAAUCUUGAACGAGGAAUUCCUAGUAAACGCAGAUCAUCAAUCUGCAUUGAUUACGUCCCUGCCCUUUGUACACACCGCCCGUCGCACCUACCGAUUGGAUGGUCCGGUGAAGCCUCGGGAUUGUGGUUCUUGCCGCUUUAUUGUGGCGUGUCCGCGAGAACUUGUCUAAACCUUAUCAUCUAGAGGAAGGUGAAGUCGUAACA